rnacentral:misc_RNA from 1 species
AAGUCGUAACAAGGUUUCCGUAGGUGAACCUGCGGAAGGAUCAUUACAACACCCUUUUUUUUUUAUUAAUUAUUAAUUUUUAUUAAUUAAUAAUAAUAAAAUAAACCCACUUUGUUGAACCUAUUUUACUAUUUUGUUAUGAAUUAUUUUUGUUAUGAAUGGGAUUUUCUUUUUUUUUUCUACAAAAAAAGAGAAGAUUUCCAUUUUCAUAUCCAAUCUUAUCUUUAUCUUAUUAUCUCUUUUUUUCUUCUUUUUUUUGGAUCUUCAACUUUGCUUUGAAGUAAACAAAAAAACAAAAGAAAACCAUAGAUAAUUCUGUUGAAAAACAAAACAAAAUUUUAAUUAUUAUUAUGAAUCUAAACCAUUUAUAAUAAUAAAUAAUAAUAUAAUAUGAGAGUACAACUCUUAACAAUGGAUAUCUAGGCUCUCGU